rnacentral:rRNA from 1 species
UACGUAGGGUGUGAGCGUUAAUCGGAAUUACUGGGCGUAAAGCGUGCGCAGGCGGCGCGUUAAGACAGGUGUGAAAGCCCCGAGCUUAACUUGGGAAUUGCGCUUGUGACUGGCGUGCUGGAGUGUGGCAGAGGGAGGUGGAAUUCCACGUGUAGCAGUGAAAUGCGUAGAGAUGUGGAGGAACACCGAUGGCGAAGGCAGCCUCCUGGGCCAGCACUGACGCUCAUGCACGAAAGCGUGGGGAGCAAACAGG